CGCGUGGAUAUCUGCCUAUUAGUGGGGGACGAACUACGGGAAACCGGUAAGCUAAUACCGCAUAAUACUCUACGGAGGAAAGACAGGGGACCGUUUCGGGGUCCGUUGCGCUGAUAGAUGAGUCCGCGUCUGAUUAGCUAGUUGGUGGGGUAAAGGCCUACCAAGGCGAUGAUCAGUAACUGGUUUGAGAGGAUGAUCAGUCACACUGGAACUGAGACACGGUCCAGACUCCUACGGGAGGCAGCAGUGGGGAAGUAUUGCACAAUGGGCGGAAGCCUGAUGCAGCAACGCCGCGUGCGGGAUGACGGCCUUCGGUUGUAAACCGCUUUCGUCCUGUGACGAAGCGUGGGUGCGGUAAUGGG
rnacentral:rRNA from 1 species